CUUGGGUGGUCCUGAUGAGAACCAGUUUCAUCAUUGUGUUUUCAAUGGAACACAAUUCUAAUUCCUGUGGGAUCUGGAUUUGGCACCAAUGAAGACCCAGCCUCCAACACUGAGGCCAAACAGCCUUUGGAGAAUGACUACACACUGAUGGUGAGUGAGAGGUGGAAGAACACACCCAAUAAAAUAGUGUGACCAACAUCAGUUCAAAACCCCUGCAGGACUGUUCAGUAGACCCUGUUCA